UAGUACGGCGAGUGAAGCGGCAACAGCUCAAAUUUGAAAUCUGGCUCUUUUAGAGUCCGAGUUGUAAUUUGCAGAGGGCGCUUUGGCUUUGGCAGCGGUCCAAGUUCCUUGGAACAGGACGUCACAGAGGGUGAGAAUCCCGUACGUGGUCGCUAGCUAUUGCCGUGUAAAGCCCCUUCGACGAGUCGAGUUGUUUGGGAAUGCAGCUCUAAAUGGGAGGUAAAUUUCUUCUAAAGCUAAAUAUUGGCCAGAGACCGAUAGCGCACAAGUAGAGUGAUCGAAAGAUGAAAAGCACUUUGGAAAGAGAGUCAAACAGCACGUGAAAUUGUUGAAAGGGAAGCGCUUGCAGCCAGACUUGCUUGCAGUUGCUCAUCCGGGCUUUUGCCCGGUGCACUCUUCUGCAGGCAGGCCAGCAUCAGUUUGGGCGGUGGGAUAAAGGUCUCUGUCACGUACCUUCCUUCGGGUUGGCCAUAUAGGGGAGACGUCAUACCACCAGCCUGGACUGAGGUCCGCGCAUCUGCUAGGAUGCUGGCGUAAUGGCUGUAAGCGGCCCGUCUUGA
rnacentral:rRNA from 1 species